rnacentral:misc_RNA from 1 species
UCUCCGUUGGUGAACCAGCGGAGGGAUCAUUACAGAGUUUUCACAACUCCCAACCCUUGCGAACCGUACCCAUUCUGUUCUCGUUGCUUCCGGCGGGGGGGACGGGGGGGCCCGAAACGGCCUCCCCGCCCCGCCCCCCGGGGGCGGCGGGCCCUACGAACCCUUCUAACUCAACCCCCACAAACCGUCAUCGCAAACCAACAAAAUAAUCAAAACCUUCAACAACGGUUCUCUCGGCUCCAGCAUCCAUGUAGAACGCAGCAGAUCGGAAGAGCAACC